AUUCGGCCCAUCUAGUCUGCCCAUUUUUCUAAAUACUUUCAUUAGUCCCUAGCCUUAUCUUAUAGUUAGGAUAGCCUUAUGCCUAUCCCACGCAUGCUUAAACUCCUUUACUGUGUUAACCUCUACCACUUCAGCUGGAAGGCUAUUCCAUGCAUCAACUACCCUCUCAGUAAAGUAAUACUUCCUGAUAUUAUUUUUAAACCUUUGCCCGUCUAAUUUAAGAC